CAUGGCGCUAAGUCCUCCCAUUUUACAGAGAAGGAAACCGGAAGCACACUGAAAUGAAAUCACACAGCUGUGAUGCAGGUGGCUGAAAGCUGGAGCUGGAGAGCUGGGAGGCUGAGGGCUGUGUGCACCCCAUCUUCACGGGACCCAUCUUCCAGCUGCCCACAGAGCUGAGACGCAAGGCUCUGGGUCGCCUUUGCAAUGGAAGCGUAUUUUGUUUGCUUGGAGUGUCCGAAGGGGACAAAGCUGGAAAGUCUCGUGGUGCAUCUGAAAUGAAUACAAUCCAGUGUCCCUGACCUCGGGAAUUUUACCAUCUAGUUGGAGAAUAAUAAGAACCAUUCAUGUAGCUCUUUUUGGUAUCCCCUGUUUGUACCAUUGAUUCUUCUAAUGCUUAGCACAAGCCCUUCACAGAUGAGGAGACUGAACUCUGCCAAGCUGUGUUCUAGUUCCUGGCCCACAGGAAUGGUAAAAUUGUACAUGGUGGUGAGCCACUAAGUGUGUGGAAAAUUCUUCUGAAUGGCCAAACAACGUAUCCCAUCACAUAUCCUCCCCUACAACUGUGACUUUAGACAUUCCUCCCACCAAGAGGUGGAGUCGAAUUCUCCUCACCUUGAGUCCAGAUGGGCUUAGGACUUCUUUGAUGAUAAAGGACUGUGAACACCACACUGAUUUUUCAAGACUGGGUCAUAAAAGGUGAUGCAGCAUCCACCUUGUCACUGAAUCCCUUGCACUUGGAGCCCUGAGCUGCCAUGUAAGAAGUCUGACUGUGCUGAGGCCGCCAUGUUGACAGACAGCCCAGGCUCUACGCGUGAGAGAACAAAGCUUUCAGUGGCCCCAGCCUCCAGCCACUGAGUCAC